GACGAAGGUGGCGAGCGUUGUUCGGAAUCACUGGGCAUAAAGCGCACGUAGGCGGCGGCGUAAGUUGGAUGUGAAAUCCCCCGCCCAACCGGGGAACUGCGUCCAGUACUGCGUUGCUUGAGGAUCCAAGGGGUGCAUGGAAUUCCCGGUGGAGCGGUGAAAUGCGUUGAUAUCGGGAGGAACUCCGGGCGCGAAAGCGGUGCACGUGGUGGAUUACGUGACGCUGAGGUGCGAAAGCCAGGGGAGCAAAGCGGGG
rnacentral:rRNA from 1 species